GGCUUCAUGGUCUAGUGGUAUGAUUCCCGCUUUGGGUGCGGGAGGUCACGGGUUCAAUUCCCGUUGGAGCCC
rfam:Conidiobolus coronatus NRRL 28638 unplaced genomic scaffold CONCOscaffold_331, whole genome shotgun sequence.